GAUGAACGCUGGCGGCGUGCCUAAUACAUGCAAGUAGAACGCAGGAGGAGGAGCUUGCCCUUCCGGAUGAGUGGCGAACGGGUGAGUAACACGUAGGUAACCUGCCUGGUAGCGGGGGAGAACUAUUCGAAACGAUAGAUAAUACCGCAUAACAGUAGAUGUUGCAUGACGUUUGCUAAAAAGGUACAGUCGCACCACUACCAGAUGGACCUGCGUUGUAUUAUCUAGUUGGUGGGGUAACGGCUCAACAAGGGGACAAUAAAUAACCGACCUGGGAGGGGGGUCGGCCAAACUGGGACUGGGACACGGGCCAGGCUCCUACGGGGGGCAGCCGUAGGGAAUCUUCGGCAAUAGACGGAAGUCUGGACGAGGCACGGCGGGGGGGGGAAGGAAGUUCUCGGAUCGUAAAAAUUUGUUGUAAGAGGAGAACGAGUGUGAGAGUUGAAAGUUCACACUUUGACGGUAUCUAAUCAGAAAGCCACGGCUAACUACGUG
rnacentral:rRNA from 1 species